UAACAGCGAUGUGCAGCGGAAACAACCUGGAGCUGAACACGACGUCAUAGAGGAUUUUAUAAAGGUUUUAUUUGUUCCGUGUGACUGUUAUACUGUCUACCUCUGUGUACUAUGUAGACCUACUAUAUGUGAGAGAGCUCCAAAUAAUAAUUCCAAUAUAUUACUUUUAAUAGGUACUUGCAAAUGGCAAAUAUACUACUUGAAUAAAAAUGGAUUAAACUACUUGAAUAAAAUGUAGAAAAGCUUCUGAUUGAGUUUGGAACUGUCAGAUAAUUUCUGUAGCACAGAAAUAUAGCGAUAGUAAACUAUAGCGUAAUGAAACAGGCAGGGAGCGGGACUCGAACCCUCGACCUUCUAGCCCGAAGUCCAGCGCGCUAACGACUGUGCCCCAAAAGCAUAUUCAAGCAGAGAGUCGCUAUCCACGCUUAUAAACCCAGGGUCGUUACACUAUAUAAUGAUAUUGUGUAGGUUCGAUGAUAUUUAAGAAAAGGGGACAGAGGACACGGGGACAUGGUUAUGUCAGUUGGAUUAGUCUGCUGGUUUGACGCUCAAAAAGCGGCUUCACUCCGAGGAGCUGCUGUAGUGUUGCCGGCACGGAGAAGUUAGGCUGGGCUCUGUGAGGACGAUGGCAGUCAGAGGAAGGGACACGGCUGCGUUACGACACCAGUCAAAUCGAUGCGCAGCUCUACUAUCUCGGUUGUAGCUCCGCAGGACGAGUCUUUCACAUGAGAACAUCCAACCACGGCUGAAUUGUCCGACCAAUGUUAAGUCAAGUCAGUCACUGUAAAACCAAGCUGUACUGGAUAGAAAAUAGUAGGCAGUAAGUUGACCUACCCGGUCGAAGCGUACUACUAAUCUACUGGAGAAAUGUGUCUCACUUUUGUAAGUGAAUGGAAAUACAAGUCACUAUAAAACCAGCACUGCGUCUCUACUCACUGACACUGAGCUGUCCGAAGAAACCAUAAGGGAGCUGCCAACCAUCAUCAUCAGAAGAACAAAUCAGCCAGAAACACUCCGAUUGACUGCUGCUGAGGCUUGAACACUGCCAGAGAGAACUGCGUUGAUUAUGAAGGGGAAAGGUGUAAUGACUGUUUUCCUACUUGCACUUGUUGCAAAAUCCUCCGUGUCUCUUCCGAUCACUAUAACCGUGAUGUUGAAUCACCCAGUUACACCGCCCUGCUCUGGAUCAUGCCAUGGUGUCAGAAAUAAGACGGGAAGGAAAGAUCCAUAGAAUAAAUGGAACAUUCUGCCCUCACUCCGUGGAUCCAAGACCAAGAAAACACAUCCCAUCAGGAAAAACCACUGGCAUGUCACGCUCUGCUCUGCCGUCGCUGCCAGCCACCAGCAAGACUGAUACACACUUCAUCGGCGUCUCUCUACUGCCACCGUGAGAACUUCACCACUUUACACACCAGCAUAGCUGAGGGGGGAGAGAGAUUCGGAAGAAAUGCUGAGCUCCUCUGCAGCACAGCCCAUUGAAAAUCCUACGAGGCCGCCUACAAUUGACACGCUACAUUGCAUCAACCAAUGGUUGUGUGCCAUGUCACUGACAAUAAAAUAUAUCUUUCAUGCAGAACUCUCCGUCUUCAGUCAUUCAAAUAAUAUG
ensembl:lncRNA